GCAAAGCACGGUAAACCUAAAAAUCUUGACUUCCUUCUCUCAUCUUCUUCGCUUCCAGACGAAAGCUUACCUCUUUCAUCCAUGAUUGUUCGGAUUCUUUUCCUUUCACUCAGUUUUUUUAUGAGGUUAAGUACAGUCUUGAUGCUUGAAGAGAGACAAGCUGGAACAUUUCAAGCGCCCAAGAUCUUUCUACGCUUUGAUUGAACACUUUGUACCAUUUUUUUCCAAAGUGAAUAACAAUUGUGUAUUUGUGUUUAUUCCAAGAGCCAGGAACAUAUUCCUCUUAUUGUUAACUAAACCGACGAAGUUAAACCAAUAAUGUAAUUUCAUUGAUGUUUUACUAAACACUGUGCAUAAAUAACAAACUUUGUUACAGCUC